rnacentral:lncRNA from 1 species
GACUCUAUGAAAAAUAAUUUAAAAAAUUAAAGCCUUCCUAACUAAUAACUUUCUUCCCUCUAAUCGAAUGCCAACCAAAAAUGUGCAAAAGUCAUGACAAUUUGAAAGGGUUCUGGCAAGAAAUUUAGGGCAAACAAAGAGCACGAAUUGGCAUAACUAUCAUUUCCAAUACAAGUUUUAGAACAACAAUGAAGAUCACAUAAAUGAAUUAAGUGA